rnacentral:rRNA from 1 species
ACUCCUACGGGAGGCAGCAGUAGGGAAUCUUCCACAAUGGACGAAAGUCUGAUGGAGCAACGCCGCGUGAGUGAAGAAGGGUUUCGGCUCGUAAAACUCUGUUGUUAAAGAAGAACAUAUCUGAGAGUAACUGUUCAGGUAUUGACGGUAUUUAACCAGAAAGCCACGGCUAACUACGUGCCAGCAGCCGCGGUAAUACGUAGGUGGCAAGCGUUGUCCGGAUUUAUUGGGGCGUAAAGCGAGCGCAGGCGGUUUUUAAGUCUGAUGUGAAAGCCUUCGGCUCAACCGAAGAAGUGCAUCGGAAACUGGGAAACUUGAGUGCAGAAGAGGACAGUGGAACUCCAUGUGUAGCGGUGAAAUGCGUAGAUAUAUGGAAGAACACCAGUGGCGAAGGCGGCUGUCUGGUCUGUAACUGACGCUGAGGCUCGAAAGUAUGGGUAGCAAACAGGAUUAGAUACCCUGGUAGGAUA